rnacentral:rRNA from 1 species
UACAGAGGUCUCAAGCGUUGUUCGGAUUCAUUGGGCGUAAAGGGUGCGUAGGCGGCGCGGUAAGUCGGGUGUGAAAUCUCGGAGCUUAACUCCGAAACUGCAUUCGAUACUGCCGUGCUUGAGGACUGGAGAGGAGACUGGAAUUCAUGGUGUAGCAGUGAAAUGCGUAGAGAUCAUGAGGAAGACCAGUGGCGAAGGCGGGUCUCUGGACAGUUCCUGACACUGAGGCACGAAGGCCCAGGGGAGCAAAACGGG